rnacentral:rRNA from 1 species
GGGUUGUGAGGUUAAGCGACUAAGCGUACACGGUGGAUGCCCUGGCAGUCAGAGGCGAUGAAGGACGUGCUAAUCUGCGAUAAGCGUCGGUAAGGUGAUAUGAACCGUUAUAACCGGCGAUUUCCGAAUGGGGAAACCCAGUGUGUUUCGACACACUAUCAUUAACUGAAUCCAUAGGUUAAUGAGGCGAACCGGGGGAACUGAAACAUCUAAGUACCCCGAGGAAAAGAAAUCAACCGAGAUUCCCCCAGUAGCGGCGAGCGAACGGGGAGGAGCCCAGAGCCUGAAUCAGUGUGUGUAUUAGUGGAAGCGUCUGGAAAGGCGCGCGAUACAGGGUGACAGCCCCGUACACAAAAAUGCACAUAUUGUGAGCUCGAUGAGUAGGGCGGGACACGUGGUAUCCUGUCUGAAUAUGGGGGGACCAUCCUCCAAGGCUAAAUACUCCUGACUGACCGAUAGUGAACCAGUACCGUGAGGGAAAGGCGAAAAGAACCCCGGCGAGGGGAGUGAAAAAGAACCUGAAACCGUGUACGUACAAGCAGUGGGAGCACAGAGCAAUCUGUGUGACUGCGUACCUUUUGUAUAAUGGGUCAGCGACUUAUAUUCUGUAGCAAGGUUAACCGAAUAGGGGAGCCGAAGGGAAACCGAGUCUUAACUGGGCGUUAAGUUGCAGGGUAUAGACCCGAAACCCGGUGAUCUAGCCAUGGGCAGGUUGAAGGUUGGGUAACACUAACUGGAGGACCGAACCGACUAAUGUUGAAAAAUUAGCGGAUGACUUGUGGCUGGGGGUGAAAGGCCAAUCAAACCGGGAGAUAGCUGGUUCUCCCCGAAAGCUAUUUAGGUAGCGCCUCGUGAAUUCAUCUCCGGGGGUAGAGCACUGUUUCGGCAAGGGGGUCAUCCCGACUUACCAACCCGAUGCAAACUGCGAAUACCGGAGAAUGUUAUCACGGGAGACACACGGCGGGUGCUAACGUCCGUCGUGAAGAGGGAAACAACCCAGACCGCCAGCUAAGGUCCCAAAGUCAUGGUUAAGUGGGAAACGAUGUGGGAAGGCCCAGACAGCCAGGAUGUUGGCUUAGAAGCAGCCAUCAUUUAAAGAAAGCGUAAUAGCUCACUGGUCGAGUCGGCCUGCGCGGAAGAUGUAACGGGGCUAAACCAUGCACCGAAGCUGCGGCAGCGACACUGUGUGUUGUUGGGUAGGGGAGCGUUCUGUAAGCCUGUGAAGGUGUGCUGUGAGGCAUGCUGGAGGUAUCAGAAGUGCGAAUGCUGACAUAAGUAACGAUAAAGCGGGUGAAAAGCCCGCUCGCCGGAAGACCAAGGGUUCCUGUCCAACGUUAAUCGGGGCAGGGUGAGUCGACCCCUAAGGCGAGGCCGAAAGGCGUAGUCGAUGGGAAACAGGUUAAUAUUCCUGUACUUGGUGUUACUGCGAAGGGGGGACGGAGAAGGCUAUGUUGGCCGGGCGACGGUUGUCCCGGUUUAAGCGUGUAGGCUGGUUUUCCAGGCAAAUCCGGAAAAUCAAGGCUGAGGCGUGAUGACGAGGCACUACGGUGCUGAAGCAACAAAUGCCCUGCUUCCAGGAAAAGCCUCUAAGCAUCAGGUAACAUCAAAUCGUACCCCAAACCGACACAGGUGGUCAGGUAGAGAAUACCAAGGCGCUUGAGAGAACUCGGGUGAAGGAACUAGGCAAAAUGGUGCCGUAACUUCGGGAGAAGGCACGCUGAUAUGUAGGUGAAGUCCCUCGCGGAUGGAGCUGAAAUCAGUCGAAGAUACCAGCUGGCUGCAACUGUUUAUUAAAAACACAGCACUGUGCAAACACGAAAGUGGACGUAUACGGUGUGACGCCUGCCCGGUGCCGGAAGGUUAAUUGAUGGGGUCAGCGCAAGCGAAGCUCUUGAUCGAAGCCCCGGUAAACGGCGGCCGUAACUAUAACGGUCCUAAGGUAGCGAAAUUCCUUGUCGGGUAAGUUCCGACCUGCACGAAUGGCGUAAUGAUGGCCAGGCUGUCUCCACCCGAGACUCAGUGAAAUUGAACUCGCUGUGAAGAUGCAGUGUACCCGCGGCAAGACGGAAAGACCCCGUGAACCUUUACUAUAGCUUGACACUGAACAUUGAGCCUUGAUGUGUAGGAUAGGUGGGAGGCUUUGAAGUGUGGACGCCAGUCUGCAUGGAGCCGACCUUGAAAUACCACCCUUUAAUGUUUGAUGUUCUAACGUGGACCCGU